GGAGGCGUCUUACGAGCGGCGGCAGCGGAGGGGGCGGCGGCGGAGGGUUCACCGGCGGCGGAGGGGGGAGCAACAUGCUGAGGUUUUACACGGAUGAUGCGCCGGGGCUGAAGAUGUCGCCGACGGUCGUGCUGGUGAUGAGCCUGUGCUUUAUCGGAUUUGUUACCGCGCUGCACGUGUUCGGGAAGCUGUACCGCUACCGAUCCGGCGCCCCCGGCGGGGGCUAAGGAUCAAAUCUGAGUUUGUUAUCUGAUUUCUUUUUCGUGCUUCAGUUACUCGCCCAGGAUGAAAGGAAUAGUGGUGGAAUGUUAUUGUGUUUUCUCUUAGUUAUGGUAAGUUAAUCAGUUGCUGAUACCGAU
rnacentral:misc_RNA from 1 species